UAAUCUGACCAGCGACGCCGCGUGCGGGAUGAAGGCCUUCGGGUUGUAAACCGCUUUCAGCAGGGAAGAAGCGAAAGUGACGGUACCUGCAGAAGAAGCACCGGCUAACUAUGUGCCAGCAGCCGCGGUAAUACAUAGGGUGCAAGCGUUGUCCGGAAUUAUUGGGCGUAAAGAGCUCGUAGGUGGUUCGUCACGUCGGAUGUGAAACUCUGGGGCUUAACCCCAGACCUGCAUUCGAUACGGGCGAGCUUGAGUAUGGUAGGGGAGUCUGGAAUUCCUGGUGUAGCGGUGGAAUGCGCAGAUAUCAGGAGGAACACCAAUGGCGAAGGCAGGACUCUGGGCCAUUACUGACACUGAGGAACGAAAGCGUGGGGAGCGAACAGGAUUAGAUACCCUGGUAGUCCACGCCGUAAACGGUGGGCACUAGUUGUGGGGACCUUCCACGGUCUCUGCGACGCAACUAACGCAUUAAGUGCCCCGCCU
rnacentral:rRNA from 1 species